GCAAGUGAGGUACAUCUGCUUUGCCACUGAUGCCAUUUGUGUUUUGGACCUGAUCAAUCAAUUUCUUAAGUGUAGAGGAAGUGACACCCAUGGAAAGGUGGUUCAUGCAUUGCCAGACUGCCCAAAGUUCUGUCCCUCGUGGGGGAAUUUCCACUGGUCCAUCUUAGCAGCUACUGAUAUUGUUUGCAGUUGAGUGUACCACAGUUCCAGCCACAAACAUUUCAGAGAUGUUGCUCAGGCCUGCUGUUUUAUUCUUCUUCAGUGAAUUGUUACCAGCUUCAUUAUCUGCCAUUGUGAAUGGUUUGGAAGAACUUGCUUCAGAUGUCCAGCAAAGGAUAAAAACCACUGGAAGAGUCCACUGUUAGAUCAAGCAUCUGCCCCUGAAGAUUUGGAAACCCCUUGGGAGCAAGCUAGGGCUGGAAAGAUAAGCAAUUGAAAAGCCAGCCUGCUUGAUGGAAAGAGUCAUCCUGAUACUGUCCAAUGUCAAAGAUUCCCCUGUUGGCUGACCAGGACAGCAAGAGCAAGGGAUGGCAUAGCUGAGAAGAGGAGGCACUGCUUGGCAUCAGAAUGGAGACCUCUUAGGGUGGAAGCUGGCAGUCACAGUCAGGAGAAUUGGGGGUGAAAAGUGGGAGAAACCAGGAUGCCAAGUGGAAGCCUUCUGGCACCUUACUCUAUGGGAGCCUCUGAAUCAUUCACAAUAAAAAUCCAGGUCCUGUUUCCUCUGCCUGGAUGUUCAGAACCAGCUUUUCUGAAGGCCAGUGCUAGACGUUCAUCCACACGUGUAUCGUGGGUAUGCAUGUACUGCAAUGGCACACAGAGAUCUGACAUUUGUGAGAACCUGUAUCUCUAAGUACGAGGUUCAGUUUCUGAGUGCAACAAAAGUCCUGGGAGCCAGGUCUGCAAACGUACAUUUAAGCCGCCUUUCUGCAGCCCAAAAUUGCCCACAGCAUUUCCCUGCAAGAAGUGGGGUGGGUAGACUUCCAGGGGAUCCUUGUUUAAAAUGUUUCCUCUAUAGAGGAUCCAAGAUCAAGGCAGCUUCCAUGAAUACAGGCAUGCUGUGCCAGUGGUCACACUGUAUCUCAGAGGUGGCUGUCUCUUAGUGAUCCUUUGUACAUACAUUAGGUAGCAAAGCAAUUUUGCAUUGAAGAUGUUUUAUAAGUGUGUCCUAUUAAUAAGGCAUUGGGACAUGUCUGGUAUAGCUUUCUAGACUCAUUUGUCGUAGGGAGUCUUUUGCAUAAAGAAUCAGGGUGGGGAGAAAGGCCAUUUUACUUUUUUUUUUAAUCACUUUAAUUUGUUUUUAUGUAAAUUCUACCCUUGGGGGGGGGGUGUUUAAUGUCUGCAAUCUGCAGAGCUGGUUUUGCAAAUAAACAAGCCAGAGCUCUGGGUCCCAGGCCACUGGGGGCCACCAAGAGGCUAAGUUAGUUCAAGUAAGCCAAUACGUAGGUGGCAGGGAAGAAGUAGGGGCAAGCCAUGUGUUACCUCUGCCUGUGCUCCCCACAAGGCUCUGAUAAUCUGUGUGUGUGUAGAACUGGAUCUAUGCACAACUGCAUAUGUUUUGGUGUAUUGUGUAAAUGCAACUGCACAUGCUGUGAUUUAAUGACAAUGUGAUAAUAGAGUCAAGAACAGGCAGAAUACAAUGGUCCCACCAUCUGCUAGAGUUUAUGAUACAACCUAGCAUCUUAAAUAUCUUUAAGAAUAUUUUGAUUUGUUGAAAUCACUGAACCCCUGUUUCCCAUCAGACCCAGGAAAUCAUUUGCAAAUGUAACCUUAAAUGCUUAGAGCUCACAGUCUCCACCUCUCUGCUUUAGAUGACAAUUAUAACUGCCAUUUGUAUAGAUUCCAUUCUGAAGCUCUGGCCUACAUAACAGUUAAGUGACAAGAGAAGAUGAAAAGGGGGUAACAGAGAAAGAAACAAAUUUGAAUGUAUAUUUGUGGAGGCAUAGAAAUGCUGAUCCUCAGUGCCAGGACAAUCAAGAAACCAGCCCAUGUGUGUAUUACAGUGGUUCUCCAUGCCAGGCAGGAAGCCAACUGAGAAGAGGCUGCAGGUGAAAUUCCUGCUAACUGUUUUAUGCCUCUUUGGGCCUCAGGAAUCACUAAGUGAAAGGGAUCUGGCUCCCAGAUUAAAAAAAAAAAAUACAGGUUCUUGGGGAGCGUGGUCAGAUUGUGGCAACUUUCUGUAGGGAGCUGAAGCAAGUCACAGACAGUUUGCACCCUGGGCCAUGUUUUUGGUGAUUAAAAGCAAUCAUCUCCUGGGCAUAUUGUGGGUGGAGACGUCUGGGUUGGCUGGACAGAACCUAUUGAGGAUUAGUCCUUUAAAUGGCUCCAUUUGGCCAGUAUCACCUCCUUAGAUCUAUAUUGAAAUGCCCUUCUAUUAAUAAAUAACUCCAUUCUCCAUUCUCCCAUCUCUGGAGCUCACGUCUAAGUAAGUGGGAAUCUGGGUUUGGUUUUUAUAGACAUCAGAACUAGAUUUUAUCUUUAUUAAGGGUUCUCUCCCCACCCCACCCCCAAUCUUUGUUCCAUAGCACUGAGCAAAUCAGUAGGAUGUAAAGAAAAAAAACACUGGAUUUUAUUUUGCUGUGAUUUAUCUCACCCAGAGAGAGUCACUCUUUUUUAAGUCAUGAAAAAAGCUUAUAAAGGAAGCCCAGUUUCUCCCAUUGCAAGAAGGAUCUGUCUUUAGCACUAAAUCUGAAUGAAUAAUUUGUAUUUAGAGCAAAUGAGAGAUUUAGCUUUUUCUUUAAGUCACUGGGCUUUUUUUCAUGCUCCUUUAAUAUCCCUAUUAAAAUGUUCUUGGAUGCAUUCCUGAUUUUAAACCAUUCAAUCAGUAUUGGCAUAAUUUUUACUUAACUGAAUCAGGAACAUUCCUCUGAACACAUUUGAUUUUUGAAAUAUGCUGAUUAGUUUGAUUGGUCAGAUAAUUCACAUGGUACAGUUUCUGUUCUUUGAUUGGAUAAGUGUGCAGUGCCUGGCAUGAAAACUGGUAGACAUAAAUUAAA